AACAAAGAUGUUUAGAAAGAAAGAAAAAAAAGAUCUACUUGUUGCCAAGCAUUGAUUGAAGAUGAAUGAUCAAUCCUUCUUCACGUGGAGUAAAAUUCCCUCGCUUGAUUCCCGGUCUGAGAACGAACGGUCCUGGUGUCGCUAUAUAUAUUGCUUCUCCAAGAACCCUAGGACUCCGCGUUGCUGCCACUGCACACUCCUCGCUUGCUUUCGUCGCAUCCCCCUUUAGUUUUCAUGGCGCCCGUCAAGAAGACGAAGAAGAACGCUGAGAGCAUUAACAGUAGAUUGGCUCUCGUUAUGAAGAGCGGCAAGUACACUCUCGGAUACAAGACGGUUCUCAAAUCUCUCCGCGGCUCUAAAGGGAAAUUGAUCAUAAUUGCUAAUAACUGCCCUCCACUGCGCAAGUCAGAAAUUGAGUACUAUGCAAUGUUGGCAAAGGUUGGGGUUCACCAUUUUAAUGGGAAUAACGUUGAUCUUGGAACAGCAUGUGGCAAAUAUUUCCGUGUGUGCUGCCUCAGCAUUAUUGAUCCUGGUGAUUCGGACAUCAUCAAGAGCAUCCCUGGCGAGCAAUGAGAGAGGAAAAAGUUGAUGAAAUUGUCAUUCCUCACGAGGAUUUUAUUCCUUUGCUCAUCUCUACGAAUGGUUCAUAAAACAUCAUCAAGUCUACACUAACCUUCCAAGACAACCAAAAAGAUGGAAAAAUUUUGGAAAAGUGAAAAACUCACUACAAAAUUAUUGAAGACGAGAGUUUUAGUUCUUCUCCUUGUUGUGGCUUGGAUUUGACUUGCUGGGUGGCAACUUCCUCAGGCUCGCACUGACUUCCACCACCGGAUCCUUGAGCACUCCAUGAACCCCUCCCAAGCUCACAGUGGCUCCUCGUUUCACAGUCUGCACCAGCUUCCUCGCCCUAAUUCUGGUCUCCACUUCCCUUAGAGACGGCGAAGGGAUCCCUAGGAAGAAAUGGAGCAGCAGAAGCAGAGCACAGAGAAGGGUGACAGAUUUGGUUAUCAUGACGGAGUAGUCGAAUGGCAUGGCACGGUGAGUACUGCGUGGUAGUUGGUUUAUAUAAGCUUUCAUAGUGUAGAAAGACAUGGCAUGUGAAGAGAGGAUUAAGGCAAUUAAUAUGGGGAGUAAAAGUGAAUUAUGAAUUACAAUUCAUGCUAAGUUGAAGCUUCUUUAGCUACUACAAGGUUA